rnacentral:rRNA from 1 species
AACGAACGCUGGCGGCAGGCCUAACACAUGCAAGUCGAGCGGCAGCGGGAAGUAGCUUGCUACUUUGCCGGCGAGCGGCGGACGGGUGAGUAAUGUCUGGGAAACUGCCUGAUGGAGGGGGAUAACUACUGGAAACGGUAGCUAAUACCGCAUAACGUCGCAAGACCAAAGAGGGGGACCUUCGGGCCUCUUGCCAUCAGAUGUGCCCAGAUGGGAUUAGCUAGUAGGUGGGGUAACGGCUCACCUAGGCGACGAUCCCUAGCUGGUCUGAGAGGAUGACCAGCCACACUGGAACUGAGACACGGUCCAGACUCCUACGGGAGGCAGCAGUGGGGAAUAUUGCACAAUGGGCGCAAGCCUGAUGCAGCCAUGCCGCGUGUAUGAAGAAGGCCUUCGGGUUGUAAAGUACUUUCAGCGGGGAGGAAAGUGUUGAGGCUAAUAACCUCAGCAAUUGGCGUUACCCGCAGAAGAAGCACCGGCUAACUCCGUGCCAGCCGCCGCUGUAA